UACAGAGGUCCCGAGCGUUGUUCGGAUUCAUUGGGCGUAAAGGGGUGCGUAGGCGGUCUGCUAAGUUUGAUGUGAAAUCCCGGGGCUCAACCCUGGAAUUGCAUUGAAUACUGGUGGACUAGAGUACCGGAGAGGAAACUGGAAUUUACGGUGUAGCAGUGAAAUGCGUAGAUAUCGAGAGGAACACCAGUGGCGCAAGCGGCUGACUGGCCGAGACCUGACGCUGAGACACGACGGCGUGGGGAGCAAACCGG
rnacentral:rRNA from 1 species